UCUGAUCCCUCGUGUGACGGCAUCGUUCGAACCUCCCCAGGGCCGGAAGGCAGCAAGGAUAAGGGCGCUCUGUCGGGUGCGCGAGGGAUCCUUUGU
rnacentral:SRP_RNA from 1 species